rnacentral:lncRNA from 1 species
AAAAUGUUUGCUAUAUGUAAUGUAAAGUCUACUGCAUUCUUACGUCCAUAUGAGAGCCUGUCCUGAAGAUAUUACAGUGCACUGUCUUCCAGAAUAGACAGACUUUCAAUAUAUUUGUAUAUUGAAUUGAGGAACCCAGAUCUACUGAAAUACUGUAUUACAAGACCUGGGAGAGUAGCCUGAAGGUAGGCUUGUGGUAGGUAGAUAAUAUAGCUGUACAGUCCUUUUAAAAAACAAAGCACAUGUUUAUGUGAGAAUUUGUGACUAGCUGGAGCAAAAUUGCAAUG